GAUGAAGAACGUAGCGAACUGCGAUAAGUAAUGUGAAUUGCAGAAUUCAGUGAAUCAUCGAGUCUUUGAACGCACAUUGCGCCCCCUGGCAUUCCGGGGGGCAUGCCUGUCCGAGCGUCAUUGCUGCCCUUCAAGCCCGGCUUGUGUGUUGGGUCGUCGUCCCCCCCGGGGGACGGGCCCGAAAGGCAGCGGCGGCACCGCGUCCGGUCCUCGAGCGUAUGGGGCUUUGUCACCCGCUCGAUUAGGGCCGGCCGGGCGCCAGCCGGCGUCUCCAACCAUCUAUUUUACCAGGUUGACCUCGGAUCAGGUAGGGAUACCCGCUGAACUUAAGCAUAUCAAUAAGCGGAGGA
rnacentral:misc_RNA from 1 species